rnacentral:misc_RNA from 1 species
GAUGAAGAACGUAGUGAAAUGCGAUAAGUAAUGUGAAUUGCAGAAUUCAGUGAAUCAUCGAAUCUUUGAACGCACAUUGCGCCCGCCAGUAUUCUGGCGGGCAUGCCUGUUCGAGCGUCAUUUCAACCAUCAAGCCCCCGGCUUGUGUUGGGGACCUGCGGCUGCCGCAGGCCCUGAAAAGCAGUGGCGGGCUCGCUGUCACACCGAGCGUAGUAGCAUACAUCUCGCUCUGGGCGUGCCGCGGGUUCCGGCCGUUAAACCACCUUCAUAACCCAAGGUUGACCUCGGAUCAGGUAGGAAGACCCGCUGAACUUAAGCAUAUCAAUAAGCGGAGGA